rnacentral:tRNA from 1 species
AAUAGGGUGCCUGAUUAAAGGGUUAUUUUGAUAGAAUAAAUUAUGCACUGUGUGUUUCUAUUA